rnacentral:rRNA from 1 species
GAGUGGCGGACGGGUGAGUAAUGCUUGGGAACUUGCCUUUGCGAGGGGGAUAACAGUUGGAAACGACUGCUAAUACCGCAUAAUGUCUUCGGACCAAACGGGGCUUCGGCUCCGGCGCAAAGAGAGGCCCAAGUGAGAUUAGCUAGUUGGUAAGGUAACGGCUUACCAAGGCGACGAUCUCUAGCUGUUCUGAGAGGAAGAUCAGCCACACUGGGACUGAGACACGGCCCAGACUCCUACGGGAGGCAGCAGUGGGGAAUAUUGCACAAUGGGGGAAACCCUGAUGCAGCCAUGCCGCGUGUGUGAAGAAGGCCUUCGGGUUGUAAAGCACUUUCAGUUGUGAGGAAAAGUUAGUAGUUAAUACCUGCUAGCCGUGACGUUAACAACAGAAGAAGCACCGGCUAACUCCGUGCCAGCAGCCGCGGUAAUACGGAGGGUGCGAGCGUUAAUCGGAAUUACUGGGCGUAAAGCGCACGCAGGCGGUUUGUUAAGCUAGAUGUGAAAGCCCCGGGCUCAACCUGGGAUGGUCAUUUAGAACUGGCAGACUAGAGUCUUGGAGAGGGGAGUGGAAUUCCAGGUGUAGCGGUGAAAUGCGUAGAUAUCUGGAGGAACAUCAGUGGCGAAGGCGACUCCCUGGCCAAAGACUGACGCUCAUGUGCGAAAGUGUGGGUAGCGAACAGGAUUAGAUACCCUGGUAGUCCACACCGUAAACGCUGUCUACUAGCUGUGUG